AUAGACACAAAUAACAUUGAAUCAAGUUUAUCAUGUGAUACAUUAAGUUUGGAUGCAAAAACAUGUGAAACAAAUGAAUGCGAUGCACUAGUGUCAAAUAAAACAUGAGCAAUAUGGUUACAGAUAGUGUACAUACCCUGUACCACGUCCGGGUCGGCAUCUAUAUCCUGCUGUGUGAGGUUGUAAACCCUGCCCUGAAUAGGAGGUCUUCCUUGCUUCUGGCUCCUCGGGCACUCUAUCGCAUAGUGCUGGGCACUACCACAUAUGCGACAUGUGUUGUUGAGGCGAUAGCAUGGUCGGUCCCCGUGAUCCCUACC
rnacentral:lncRNA from 1 species